AUGGGGUGCAGCAGGCGCGAAACCUCCGCAAUGCGGGCAACCGCGACGGGGGGACCCCCAGUGCCGUGGCAUCGCCACGGCUUUUCCGGAGUGUAAAAAGCUCCGGGAAUAAGGGCUGGGCAAGGCCGGUGGCAGCCGCCGCGGUAAUACCGGCGGCCCGAGUGGUGGCCGCUAUUAUUGGGCCUAAAGCGUCCGUAGCCGGGCCCGUAAGUCCCUGGCGAAAUCCCACGGCUCAACCGUGGGGCUUGCUGGGGAUACUGCGGGCCUUGGGACCGGGAGAGGCCGGGGGUACCCCUGGGGUAGGGGUGAAAUCCUAUAAUCCCAGGGGGACCGCCAGUGGCGAAGGCGCCCGGCUGGAACGGGUCCGACGGUGAGGGACGAAGGCCAGGGGAGCGAACCGGAUUAGAUACCCGGGUAGUCCUGGCUGUAAAGGAUGCGGGCUAGGUGUCGGGCGAGCUUCGAGCUCGCCCGGUGCCGAAGGGAAGCCGUUAAGCCCGCCGCCUGGGGAGUACGGCCGCAAGGCUGAAACUUAAAGGAAUUGGCGGGGAGCAC
rnacentral:rRNA from 1 species